rnacentral:pre_miRNA from 1 species
GAACUACUCCCUCCGUCUCAUAUUAAGUGACUUUCUAUUACAUGUAUCUAGACGCUUUUUAGGCAUAGAUGCAUCCAUAUUUGGGCAAAUUUGAGUCACUUAAUAUGGGACUGAGGGAGUAGUUG